AUGAAAAAAAAAAAAGAACAAUGUAACAAUCACCUGUAUAUCUACCUUCUAAACUCAACGAUUGAUGGCAGUUACCAUUUUUGCCUUAAUGUGUGUGUGAAUGCAUGUGUAGGCACAUGCAGACAUGCAUGCACAGAUGUGUGAGCUUGUGUAUAUAAAUAUAAAGUGCGUACAGCAAUUCUAUUUAUUUAUUUAUUUAUUAUUUUUUAAUUUUUUAGCACGUCUCUUUAAACCCAAGCACUUCAGCAAGCACUCCUAAAAGAACAACAUUUUCAUACACAAUUAUACCAUUAUUACUUCCAAGAAAAUUAACAAUAACUCCCUAAUAUUUAAUAUCUGUAUUGCCUAUGAUAUCUUUACCAUAUAAAUAUUUUUGACUUCCAUAUCUUUAACUAAUCUUUUGGUUUUAUUUUAUGGCUGCUGAAUUUUUGAGUCUUCAAAAGACUUUUGAGUUAGAAAGACCUUCCUAUUCAACACUAUAAAAGCCUGGGAUUUUUUUCUGUUCUUGGAUUUUUCUAGAAGUUUUCGAUGGUUUCAUUUUCUUACAUUUAAGUCUAUGACACAUUUGGAGGUUAUUCUGGUAUUUUCCGUGAGGGAUGGAUCAAGUUUAUCUUUUCCCAAAUGGCUACCUGGUUGUACUAAUCUCCUUUAUUAAAAAGUCCAUCUUUGCUGCCAUGAUUUAGGAUGUAGCCUUUGUCAGACACCUGUUUCACAUGUACGUUCGACUCUGUUCCUGGGUUUACUAACCCUUUUCCACUAGUGUGUCUUCCUUUCAGUUUUGAUUAUUGGAUGUUUAGUAUUGGAUCUUUAGAGUGCGUUUAAUACUUCUUAAAGGUGGCCUUUCCUCAUUCUUCUUUCUUUUCAUAAUUUUAUUGGUUCUUCCUGUUUUUCAUAUAGACUUUAGAAUUAUUUGUCCAGAAAAAUCUCUUUUUUAAUAUAAGAUGGUAUUGAGAUGAUAGUAAUCUUUAACUAACUGCACUUAAAGAGAGUUGACACCUUUUGAUGUUGAGU
rnacentral:lncRNA from 12 species